AAAAAACAAAAUAGUGGUGUUAUUGUAGGAAAUAAUUAAUAAUUAUCCUACAAUGGAAUAAUAUAGCUAUAUGUCAUAAAUAAAUUAAUAAAACAUGAAUUGAUAUAAAGUGCAGUGUUGCAGUAAAUUUCCGUUAUAACAGCAAACGGGAUUAGUGAAGCAGUACUUAUAUAGCAUAUGAAUACUGAGUUUUAAGUGACAACUGUGUUGAAAAAGUGCUAAAUAGUGCUUUGAAGGUGACC